rnacentral:rRNA from 1 species
CACCGCGGUUAUACGAGUAACCCUUGUUGAUAGUACACGGCGUAAAGGGUGGUUAGGGUGUUUACUUUAAGUAAAGUCGAACUCUUCCAAGACUGUUAUAAGUAUACGGAACAUGAAGCCCAUUUACGAAUGUAACUUUAUAACCCUGAUUCCACGAAGGCUAGCGAAA